rnacentral:lncRNA from 1 species
AUUUAUAUUUUAAAUAUAAAUAUAUUUUUCCUUUAAUAAAACAACAUGCAUUUUUGUUAUUCGUUACCUGUCCUUUAUUUUGACAUAACUUAUUGGGAAAAAGACAUUUGUCUUUAAACUGAUUAAGAAAUUGUUCCAUGUUUAAAUGUGAAGCACUGUAUAAUUUUGUUCCCAUUAUUUAGGCCUAAUUUGCCUUAAACAAUAAACGAAUAAAAUUAAACCGGCACGAUUAAAUAUUUGAAACUCUAAUGAAUUAAUAAAACGUCCUCACGAUUAAACUCAAGUUCUCUCAUUAUAAUCAACAACAUUCACACGAUGUAAAAUAAAAAGCAUUAGUAAUUGACAACUUAGGUGAUUUUAAAGGGAACCUUCUUUACUUGCUUUUAAAGUAGGGUAAUAUCAUAUGGCCUAAAAAAAUCCCAGUUUUUUUUUUUUUUUUUUUAGAAAAAAAAAACUGAUCUAUGAUUUUAACCGAUUUUUAAAUCAAUAUUCAAAUGAUGAAGAAAUUUUACAAAACAAGUUUUAAUAUAGUUCUUUAUCAUUAAUUUAGCAGUCAAAUUUAUAACUGCAACAAGAUGAUUUUAAAAAACUGUGCUGUUAUUACCUUAAUGCUGGAAAGACCUUUAUUUUUUUAUUUUACUUUUUAUUUUUUAAUACUAGCCCAUCAUGCAUCUAACCAUCCACUCAGCUUUAAGAGCUGUUCAGAUUAAAACUGGCAGCUCAGCAGUGAGUCAGUGUCAUGGAUGGAGGACCUGUAUAUAUAUUUUCUAGUUUAUAUUUCCAUCUCGUUAUGCCACUGGUUUAGACUUUUUUUUUUUUUUUACUUAUUUGUAAAUAGAGCAGCGACCUUCUGUGUGUCUACACCAGACGCGAAAGUUGUCAUCUGUGCCCCACAGCGAAAAGUGUGACCAGAAAAAGCUCUAAAGUGCAUCACAAUCUCAGUUUAAACACUCUCUUGACAAUCAUUUAAUCAUCUUGUACUCUAUUUUGUUCAUGUUUUUGUCUGUUUGACCAAACUCUGAGAAUAGUCUUUAUCUAAAAACAAUGAAAAAGAUACACGGCUGGUGGGCCGGAUCAACAUUAAAAGUUUUCACAAUAGUUUAAAAGAGCGGACUUCACUAUUAGGUAAUUGUUAUUCCGAUACACAUUUCCUGUAUAAAAGACUAUAUCUAUAACCUUUUCAGGUGAAUGUAGUGCAAUCUUAUGGAUCUUAAACGUAAUCACGUUACAACAAGGCGACAUAGUCCCUCUAGCAAAUCCGUCAAAAGUGGACAAAGCAGAAAAAUCUCAGCGCACGGCAGAUGAUAAUGCUUAUGACCGAAGGAGAGUACACAUAGGCCUACUCUUUAAUGUCGAGCGGAGAUGUUGAAACAAUGUGAACAUGGUCAUCAGCUAUAUGAACAAGAGCUCUAGAUGUAGGGGCGAUAUUUUUAUGCCGUAAAAUUCCUAUGAACAGGCAGUGUAUGUUUGAAAACUGCAAAACAACGUGUCAACAGAUCGGUCGACUAUCU